AGAGUAAAACGACAUAGUACUACUUAAAUGAAAACGACAUCACUUUUAUUCAACUCAUAGUGAAAUACUCUCUCUCACAGAGAGUCUCGCCUUCCUUCUUCAUCUUCUACACUUAGCCACUUCUCUUCUCACGCUUCGACCUCAAUCUCUUCUGAGUAAACGCCAACGGAACUGCCAGCUUAUCACUUAUCGAGAUUAGGGUUUGUAGUUGAUCUCUCCUCUAAUAAGCUGGUUUUGACUCAUGGGGUUUUGUUACAGGAAGUUGAAAAAAGAUUUCAGUAAAGCUAUCCUUGAAAGGAAGAAGUAUCCUAAUCGACUUAUUGUUGUUUCUCUCUAUCACUCCACCAUGGAAAAACGCUCCGGCUUUUCCGGGGAUGCGAUUCUCAUCAAGGGUAAAAAAAGGAAUGACACUUGCUGAUGAAUCAGAAUGAACAAGGUCGUACGGUCCAACUUGAAGGUUAGACUGGGUGAUGUCAUCUCUGUUCACCAAUGCCCUGACGUCAAGUAUUGAAAGCGUGUGCAUAUCUUGCCUGUUGAUGACACCGUCGAAGGAGUCACCGGAAACCUCUUCGAUGCUUACCUCAAACGAAUGAGGAGUGUGGAGUUCAAAGUUAUCGAGACUGAUCAAGCUCCAGAUACAGAGAAUCUCUGUGAGGGUGAACCAAUUAAGAGAGAGGAUGAAGCUAAGAAUUGUGUGGUUCUCUAUCGGUAUGCUCCCCUCGAACAUACCAACAACGGCCGCCAUUGUGGGCCUCAGAUCUGGCUCCUCGUUCACGCAGCACAAAGCUAACCCAACCAAUUUUUCAAUCUGUUGGCUCGUCACUGACCCUCUAGCCUCGGGUCCGCUAGCUCUAUUCAAUGGAGAACAAUGAAGAAAUGAAACAAAUAUCAAGAAGAGACCCAUCUGAAAUACCACCUGGACCGAUAGACGAUAAGGUAAGAUUGUUGCAACAGCAACCACCCUUUAGGAUCAAUAAACCUAUGUAGAGACGAAUCCAUUAGUUCUUACACGGCUGGCCUAAAAACAUCUGAACACCAGUUAGGCCACCUAAAGGAUAUAUGCUGCAACGGUGAAUCGAGAUCCCUGUGUUCUGGUUCGGAUCUUUACGUCCUUGAGCUGUGAUUGUGUUCUUUUGUCCCUUCAUUGGUUGGCGAGGGAGAAUCUUGCAGUUUUGUAGAACGGAAUCUGCGUUACCGAAGAUGAAAUUGACUGUUCCUAUUAUGGUGCAGUCGCGGUAGUAUUGGCGUUGUGCAUGCACGUAAAGCGUGUCUUGGUAUGCGUUCAUUGUGCAACAGUAAAAGGCGGUGAGGUCCGCGCUUACCAUUAGAGCUACGGCUUGGUGUUUGGAUGGACCUGCUGUGUUGAUGAAGCCCAUGUCUCUUGCCAUAAACCCUUUCCCGAACACAGCUGUUGAUAACAUAAUAUAGUAAUGUUAAAACUGGUUUCUUGAAACCUAGCAAAGUACAAACAAGUUUCUAUUAAUAAAGUAUUUUUUUUUUUUAA